rnacentral:piRNA from 1 species
UGCACAAGCCUGGGUGCUCCACGCUGUC